GCUGGGCAUGAUGGCACAUGCCUGUAGUCCCAGCUACACAGGAGGCUGAGGCAGGAGGAUCACUUGAGCCCAGAAGGUCGAGGCUGCAGUGAGCUAUGACUGUGCUACUGCACUCCAGCCUGGGCAACAGAGUGAGAUUCUGUUUCAA
rnacentral:SRP_RNA from 1 species